rnacentral:rRNA from 1 species
GACGAACGCUGGCGGCGUGCUUAACACAUGCAAGUCGAACGGAAAGGCCCCUUCGGGGGUACUCGAGUGGCGAACGGGUGAGUAACACGUGAGUAACCUGCCCUUGACUUCGGGAUAACUUCAGGAAACUGGGGCUAAUACCGGAUAGGAAUCCUUGCUGCAUGGUGGGGGUUGGAAAGCUUCGGCGGUUUUGGAUGGACUCGCGGCUUAUCAGCUUGUUGGUGGGGUAGUGGCUUACCAAGGCUUUGACGGGUAGCCGGCCUGAGAGGGCGACCGGCCACAUUGGGACUGAGAUACGGCCCAGACUCCUACGGGAGGCAGCAGUGGGAAAUAUUGCACAAUGGGCGGAAGCCUGAUGCAGCAACGCCGCGUGCGGGAUGACGGCCUUCGGGUUGUAAACCGCUUUCAGCAGGGGCGAAGCUUGUGGUGACGGUACCUGCAGAAGAAACACCGGCUAACUACGU